GUGGGGAAUCUUGCGCAAUGGGCGAAAGCCUGACGCAGCCAUGCCGCGUGAAUGAUGAAGGUCUUAGGAUUGUAAAAUUCUUUCACCGGGGACGAUAAUGACGGUACCCGGAGAAGAAGCUCCGGCUAACUUCGUGCCAGCAGCCGCGGUAAUACGAAGGGGGCUAGCGUUGCUCGUAAUUACUGGGCGUAAAGGGCGCGUAGGCGGACAGCUUAGUCAGAGGUGAAAGCCCAGGGCUCAACCUUGGAAUUGCCUUUGAUACUGGCUGUCUUGAGUACGGGAGAGGUGAGUGGAACUCCGAGUGUAGAGGUGAAAUUCGUAGAUAUUCGGAAGAACACCAGUGGCGAAGGCGACUCACUGGCCCGUUACUGACGCUGAGGAGCGAAAGCGUGGGGAGCAAACAGGAUUAGAAACCCUUGUAGUCC
rnacentral:rRNA from 1 species